UACGUAGGGGGCAAGCGUUGUCCGGAAUCAUUGGGCGUAAAGAGCGCGUAGGCGGCCCUGUAAGUCCGCUGUGAAAGUCAAGGGCUCAACCCUUGGAUGCCGGUGGAUACUGCAGGGCUAGAGUCCGGAAGAGGCGAGUGGAAUCCUGGUGUAGCGGUGAAAUGCGCAGAUAUCAGGAGGAACACCGAUGGCGAAGGCAGCUCGCUGGGACGGUACUGACGCUGAGGCGCGAAAGCGUGUGGAGCAAACAGG
rnacentral:rRNA from 1 species